rnacentral:tRNA from 1 species
GCCGGUGUGGCGCAAUUGGCAGCGCAAGUGAUUUGUAAUCACUAGGUUGCAGGUUCAAGUCCUGUCACCGGCUCCA